CUUGUUUUGGCACAUGUGUACAACUAAAACUGAGAAGACACAGAGGUGAGCAUGGCCUGUGCAGAAGAUGACAGGCAGAUUUGUGAAAUAUGCCAUAUUUUG
ensembl:snRNA U6 U6 spliceosomal RNA